AGCGAACGUUUGCGGCGGGCCUAACACAUGCAAGUCGAACGGGCUAGCAAUAGUCAGUGGCGCACGGGUGCGUAACACGUGGGUAAUCAACCCUUCAGCUCGGGAUAACGCCUUGAAAGGGGCGCUAAUACCGGAUACGACGCGAGGAGCUUCGGCUGCUUGCGGGAAAGAUUCGCAAGGAUCUCUGAAGGACGAGCCUGCGGCCCAUCAGCUAGUUGGUGAGGUAAGAGCUCACCAAGGCGAAGACGGGUAGCUGGUCUGAGAGGAUGGCCAGCCACACUGGAACUGAGACACGGUCCAGACUCCUACGGGAGGCAGCAGUGGGAAUCUUGCGCAAUGGGCGAAAGCCUGACGCAGCGACGCCGCGUGGGCGAAGAAGGCCU
rnacentral:rRNA from 1 species